ensembl:lncRNA
AAACCUGGCAGCCAUCCCAGCCUGGUGUUACCUGCCAACACUUUUCUGAAGACCAGCCAGAGCAAGGAAGAACAGGAGGGCAGGGGCUAAGGAGAGAGGGAAGAGAAGAUCCAAAUCUAAUUGCAUUGGCCUUCAGCCUCACUAGGGCUCCAUGCUCCCAGAGGUGGUGAUACACUUGUAUUCAGCAGCCGUCACUGAUCUUGCUUGUAAAAGUCCUAUUUCGACAUGGGCGUGCUUUCCUGAGGUUUGAGUCUCUGGAAUUACCCUAAUUUUCCUCUGGAUUUUGCAGUUAUGGAGAUCUGAGAACACCCCACUGGCUGGAAUGAUGCCUCCCAUGCAAAGGAGUGUUAACUAAUUUAGUUUUCCCAGUUGGAAUACCACAACCUAAACAUAUGGAUUUAUCUUGAAACCAGGAAGCCUGACAUACACUGCUGCCAAAACAAAGGAGAAAAUGCAACGUUUUGUCCUGUAAUGAGACAGCAAAGAAGCGCGGGUCCAGAAGGUAUCCAUCCUGAUCAUUUCAAGGUGGCAGGGCCUGGGCCCAGGGGAGCAGGCAGCUCCCUGCAAGUUCUCCUGAAUAUUCCGUUCUGUAUUUCUCCGUAUCUCCUUCGACAGCAUCUCUACUGCAUCUCUUAAUGGACCAAAUGUUUGUGUCCCCCAAAAUGUCUAUGUUGAAGCCCUAACCUCGACGUGACUGUAUUUGGAGGAAUGCACAUCAAUAGCAGGUUAAACAAUGGUGGCGCUUCUGUGCAAUGGGACACCGUGGUGGCGUAAAAGGAGAGAAGCAGCUUUACGUGGACUGAUGUGGAAAGGUGCCCACUAUUGAGCCAAGUUGAAAAAAAGAAGGCAAAGUGAAAGCAGCAUUAUGUAUGUUCUUAUUUCAAUUUAUAUAUGCUAUAAAGAUCUAUAAUAGCCUGCACUGAAAAAAUAUCUGGACAAAUAGAAACCAAGCAGUGUUUAUCUCUGGGGUUAUAGGGACUUUUACUGUUUUAUGGCAUACACUUCGUAAUUUUUAUUAUGGCCAUGUGUUACUUUUAUUAUCAGAGAUAACAAUAAUGAUUUUUACAAUAAGAAAAAAACUAUUGAUCAGAAAAAAGUGCCACACACUCAUUCUUAAAAACAACUGACAUGAGAACUUGUGAUGUUACUCUGAAAAAUUGGGGUGUUUCUCUGAACAGAUUUGCACACCAGGGACUAAAUUUUGGGAAGAGAAAGUUCUUUACUGUAUAUUCUAACUUGUCAUGCAAUGACACUGUGCAUCAUUAAAACGCAUUUUUUCCUUUCAAAAAUUAAGCAGUAGCCUAAUAGCUUAUUUCCUAAGAUUUUAACUAGAAAAGCCCACAAGUUGUUUUAAGAUGCUGACAUGAACACCAUUUAGAAAGUGACAAGCCUCUCUAUAUGAUACAUUAAUGAGAAGAAGGAGGAGGGGUGUGAGAGGAGAAGGAAGAGCAUUUGGAAGCUCUAUUCAGGAAGUGGUAUUCCGUUUCACCUCCAUUGUUAGAAACGCACUCUGCAAGCCUUAAACUAGAAGGCAGUGCUUGGAAGUUCUUUUAUACUCUUCUUCUCUACAGGCACACCUCGGAUAUAUUGCAGGUUCAGUUCCAGACCACCGCAAUAAA